GACGAACGCUGGCGGCGUGCUUAACACAUGCAAGUCGAACGGUAAGGCCCUUCGGGGUACACGAGUGGCGAACGGGUGAGUAACACGUGGGUGAUCUGCCCUGCACUUCGGGAUAAGACUGGGAAACUGGGUCUAAUACCGGAUAGGACCACUGCCUGCAUGGGGGGUGGUGGAAAGCCUUUGCGGUGUGGGAUGGGCGCGCGGCCUAUCAGCUUGUUGGUGGGGUGAUGGCCUACCAAGGCGACGACGGGUAGCCGGCCUGAGAGGGUGACCGGCCACACUGGGACUGAGAUACGGCCCAGACUCCUACGGGAGGCAGCAGUGGGGAAUAUUGCACAAUGGGCGCAAGCCUGAUGCAGCGACGCCGCGUGAGGGAUGACGGCCUUCGGGUUGUAAACCUCUUUCAGCACCGACGAAGCGCAAGUGACGGUAGGUGCAGAAGAAGGACCGGCCAACUACGUGCCAGCAGCCGCCGCGGUAA
rnacentral:rRNA from 1 species